UACAGGGGGUGCAAACGUUGCUCGGAAUCAUUGGGCGUAAAGCGCACGUAGGCGGUUCGUUAUGUCGGAUGUGAAAGCCCUUGGCUUAACCGAGGAAGUGCAUCCGAAACUGGCGAGCUAGAGUACUAAAGAGGAUCGCGGAAUUCCCGGUGUAGAGGUGAAAUUCGUAGAUAUCGGGAGGAACACCGGUGGCGAAGGCGGCUCACUGGCUCAUUUCUGACGCUCAGGCGCGACAGCGUGGGGAUCAAACAGG
rnacentral:rRNA from 1 species